GCCUAAUACAUGCAAGUCGAACGAGGGAAGGCAAGCUUGCUUGCCGGAACGAGUGGCGAACGGGUGAGUAAUACAUAAGCAACCUGCCUGUAAGGACCGGGAUAAUGCCUGGAAACGGGUACUAAAACCGGAUAGGCAUAGAUGGGGCAUCCCAUUUAUGUUAAAGGUGAGAGACACAAACAGAUGGGCUUAUGGCGCAUUAGCCAGUUGGUGAGGUAACGGCCCACCAAAGCGAUGAUGCGUAGCCGGCCUGAGAGGGUGGACGGCCACAUUGGGACUGAGACACGGCCCAGACUCCUACGGGAGGCAGCAGUAGGGAAUUUUCGGCAAUGGGGGGAACCCUGACCGAGCAACGCCGCGUGAGUGGAGAAGGUUUUCGGAUUGUAAAGCUCUGUUGCAAGGGAAGAACGGCACAUAGAGGAUAUGUGAGUGACGGUACCUUGCGAGGAAGCCACGGCUAACUACGUGCCAGCAGCCGCGGUAAUACGUAGGUGGCGAGCGUUAUCCGGAAUUAUUGGGCGUAAAGGGUGCGUAGGCGGCCUUUUAAGUUUAAGGUGAAAGCGUGGGGCUUAACCCCAUAAAGCCUUAGAUACUGGGAGGCUAGAGUACUGGAGAGGAAAAGUAGAAUUCCAUGUGUAGCGGUAAAAUGCGUAGAUAUAUGGAGGAAUACCGGUGGCGAAGGCGGCUUUCUAGACAGUAACUGACGCUGAGGCACAAAGCGUGGGAGCAAUAGGAUAGAUACCUAGUAUCACGCUGUAACGAUGAUGCUAGUUCGGGCGACCGGUGCUCACCACCAUAGC
rnacentral:rRNA from 1 species